AUAUAUUUUUUUUCUUUUUUUUUUUUUUUGGUCUAACUAACUCAAAUAUGUUGGAAAAAAGUUCCUAAAAAGGUUUUGGACAGUGAUUUUAACCCUAACGCCAAAAGCCUAAACCUUACCCUAGCCCCAUAACCUAAUACCCGGGUAUUACCUUCAGGAAGCCCGAAAAUCCCAAAUAUAUAUAUAUAUAUUUUUUUUCUAUUUUUUUUAGUCAAACUAACUCCAAAAGGUUGGAAAAGAGUUCCUACAAAGGUUUUGGACAGUGAUUUUAACCCUAACGCCAAAAACCUUAAACCUUACCCUAGCCCCAAAACCUAAUACCCGGGUAUUACCUUCAGGAAGCCCGAAAACCCCAAAUAUAUUUUUUUUUUUUUUUUUUUUUUUUUGUCGAACUAACUCCAAAAGGUUGGAAAAGAGUUCCUACAAAGGUUUUGGACAGUGAUUUUAACCCUAACGCCAAAAACCUUAAACCUUACCCUAGCCCCAUAACCUAAUACCCAGGUAUUACCUUCAGGAAGCCCGAAAACCCCAAAUAUUUUUUUUUCAUUUUCAUUUUUUUUUUGGUCUAACUCCAAAAGGUUUGAAUAGAGUUCCUAAAAAGGUUUUGGACAGUGAUUUUGACCCUAACGCCAAAAACCUUAAACCUUACCCUAGCCCCAAAACCUGAUCCUGGGUACUACCUUCAGGAAGCCCGAAAACCCCAAAUAUAUUUUUUUCUUUUUUCUUUUUUUUUGGUCUAACUAACUCCAAAAGGUUGGAAAAGAGUUCCUACAAAGGUUUUGGACAGUGAUUUUAACCCUAACGCCAAAAGCCUUAAACCUUACCCUAGCCCCAUAACCUAAUACCCGGGUAUUACCUUCAGGAAGCCCGAACACCCCAAAUAUUUUUUUUUCAUGUUUCAUUUGUUUUUUUGUCGAACUAACUCCAAAAGGUUGGAAAAGAGUUCCUACAAAGGUUUUGGACAGUGAUUUUAACCCUAAUGCCAAAAACCUUAAACCUUUCCCUAGCCCCAAAACCUAAUCCUGGGUAUUACCUUCAGGAAGCCCGAAAACCCCAAAUAUAUUCUUUUCUUUUUUCUUUUUUUUUGGUCCAACUAACUCCAAAAGGUUGGAAAAGAGUUCCUAUAAAGGUUUUGGACAGUGAUUUUAACCCUAACGCCAAAAACCUUUAACCUUUCCAAAGCCCCAUAACCUAAUACCCGGGUAUUACCUUCAGGAAGCCCGAAAACCCCAAAUAUAUAUAUAUUUUUUUUUUUCUAUUUUUUUUAGUCGAACUAACUCCAAAAGGUUGGAAAAGAGUUCCUACAAAGGUUUUGGACACUGAUUUUAACCCUAACGCCAAAAACCUUUAACCUUUCCAAAGCCCCAUAACCUAAUACCCGGGUAUUACCUUCAGGAAGCCCAAAACCCACAAAUAUAUAUAUAUAUAUUUUUUUUUCUCUAUUUUUUUAAGUCGAACUAACUCCAAAAGGUUGGAAAAGAGUUCCUACAAAGGUUUUGGACAGUGAUUUUAACCCUAAUGCCAAAAAACUUAAACCUUACCCUAGUCCCAAAACCUAAUACCUGGGUAUUACCUUCAGGAAGCCCGAAAACCCCAAAU